CCCGCCCCUCGCCUGCCGCCCGCCGGAGUCUCCGCUGCAGCCACCGCAGGAGGCCCAGGGCCCGGGCCACGCGCAGGAACCGCCGCUUGAGGAUCUGGCUGCCCGCGGGCGCCCACAGCCCUGGGCUGCGCACCUCACUGCUUCUGCCCUGACGGGGGCUUCGGGCUCAAUCUACCGCCAGCGUCUCCCGCCUUCUGCGCAGGCAUCAAUAAUGCAGGCGGCCCCGGUUCCUGAUCCCCUCGGCCAACAAUGGAGCGGAGGCCGCCCAGGAAAGAGGAGACGCUGCAGCUGCGGACAAAGGCCGUGGACAGGGCAACCGUGCCGCUCGGGAGUCGCUGCCAGCCCGGGCCGCCCUGGCACCGCGCCAAACGGGGCCACGCUCUGCUCCCGCCGCACUGCUUGCCCAGCAGUGGGUGAGGGGGCGCUGAGAGAACCUGUCUGGGCUGUUCUCCUCCUGGGGGCUCUAGGGGGCACCCUCCCUCCUCACUUAGCCCCUGGGUUGCCCCAGGAGGCUGGCACCCGGCUGACCUGGGUCCACAGCAAGCUCUCCGUGAGCUUUGUUAGUCCUUGUUGUUGAUCUUUUAGGUUGUGAAAUAUAAUUUAAAGAAAACUGCAUAAAACCUACGUGUUCACCUUGAACUGAUGUGAGACAAAUGCCCUGGACCCUCUUUGAGUCGUGGAAAAUAACCAGACCCCAUAAAUCCCUGAUUGCUCCAUG